rnacentral:rRNA from 1 species
UGAGGAAUAUUGCACAAUGGGCGCAAGCCUGAUGCAGCGACGCCGCGUGGGUGAUGAAGGUCUUCGGAUCGUAAAGCCCUUUUCUGCGUGACGAGACAGGACGGUAGCGCAGGAAUAAGUCUCGGCUAACUACGUGCCAGCAGCCGCGGUAAAACGUAGGAGACAAACGUUAUCCGGAGUUACUGGGCGUAAAGGGCGUGUAGGCGGUAUGUUAAGUCUGGCGUGAAAGCUCUCGGCUAAACCGGGAGAGGUCGUUGGAUACUGGCAAACUAGAGGAUGGUAGAGGCGUGUGGAAUUCCGGGUGUAGUGGUGAAAUGCGUAGAGAUCCGGAAGAACACCAGUGGCGAAGGCGGCUCACUGGAUCGGUACUGACGCUGAGGUGCGAAAGCGUGGGGAGCAAACAGGAUUAGAUACCCAUGUAGUCCCUGAGCGGGCUGGCAAGGCGCAU